rnacentral:lncRNA from 1 species
GUCAUAAGCAAGGAGAACUUCACAGCAAACCUCAUUGUGCUAGAGUCACUCAACAUUCCUUUAGUUCUUGGCAAUGGAUGGUUAUGUGCACACAAGGCAGUGAUCUAUGCUACCCAUUGGAAAAUUUUCUUAACCGCACCAUCAGGGAAAAUAAUUGAGUAUCAAGGUGGUCCACUUCUACCGGAGGAGGCAUAUCCAUGCUAAGUUAUCAUGUCCUCGAGUUGUAUAAGUCAAAAAGUUAUUAGUCAAGGUGGACCUUGAACAAUUACGAAUAAUAGACAUUUUAUGGAAGUUUUGUUCACAAGUUGUAAUCUCGAGACAUGAGUGUUUGCUUUUGGAAUGCAAAUUGUGAAGUUGAAAUAGUUAUCAAGAUCUUUUUCCUGUUUCUCUUUCGGAAUCCGUGCCUCUUCCGAAUCUCGAGGACGAGAUUCAUUUUAAGGGGUAGAUUUGUAACACCCUAAAAUUUGCCUUUAGGAAAUAAAGCUAAAUUAAUUUAAUUUUUGUAUGGUUGUGCUCAUGAAACAUAGGAAAAUAAUAUUUGUCAUUAAAAUAAAACUUAUCAUAGAAUUUAGUAACAUGUAUGUGCACUCAUGCUGGAGCAUUUAUAUUUUUAUACUGUGUGACUUUGACCAAAGUUCAAAACUGUUCAAACUGAUUUGAAAAUGGUUUGGAAAUAAAAGAAAAAAACAAACAAAAGAAAAAGGAAAACAACUUUCCCCUCCCCUCCUCUCUCGGCCUCGGCCCAAGCUCCCGCAGCGGCCCAGCUCAGCAGCGCCGCGGCCCAUUCCUCCCCCUUUUCUCUCUCACAGACAGCCCCCCACUCCCUAUCUCGCCGACACUUUGGGCCCACCUGUCAGCCGGCUUCUUCAACCUCAAGCCGUGACCGGCUUGGACUCUGCUCCAAUGGAAUCCACCCGAUUUCCCGGGAUUUCCUUGCCAAGUUGCGAAACCGAGCCUCUACAAAACUCCACGACCUCUCCUGCGUUUUCCUUUUCCUCAUCCAGAAGAGCCGUGAGCCCCAAACCGUUGCCAACCUUGCUUUCGGAUCUCGCCGAGAAGCAGAGAGCGCCGCCGCCGUGGAAUUUCCUACCUAAGACCGUGUCAACGAAAAUCAACGCUGCGCCGAGCUUCGGGUUGAGGUGACGAAUACGCCGAGCCCUUCAUUUUACUCUCUAGCGCGAUCUAUCGCUCCUAAAACUUCGCCGAACAUGCACAGGGAGAAGCUGUCCGCCUUUCUUCGUGGUGCACCUCUCCAAGCCCUUCUAGCCUCCGAUCGGUACCCUAGGUG